AGAGUUUGAUCAUGGCUCAGAACGAACGCUGGCGGCGUGCUUAACACAUGCAAGUCGAGUGCGCGGUGCCGUAGCAAUACGGUACUGGCGCACGGCGCACGGGUGCGUAACACGUGGGUAAUCUGCCCUCUGAUGGGGAAUAACCCCGCGAAAGCGGGGCUAAUACCGCAUAACAUUCCUUGGACUCCGGUUUGAGGACUCAAAGCCGUAAGGCGUCGGAGGUGGAGCCCGCGCACGAUUAGCUAGUUGGUAGGGUAACGGCCUACCAAGGCUAUGAUCGUUAGCUGGUCUGAGAGGAUGGCCAGCCACACUGGAACUGAGACACGGUCCAGACUCCUACGGGAGGCAGCAGUGGGGAAUCUUGCGCAAUGGGCGAAAGCCUGACGCAGCGACGCCGCGUGGGGGAUGAAGCUUCUCGGAGUGUAAACCCCUUUCGACCGGGACGAAUGCCCGCAAGGGAGUGACGGUACCGGUAUAAGAAGCCCCGGCUAACUACGUGCCAGCAGCCGCGGUAAGACGUAGGGGGCCAGCGUUGUUCGGAAUUACUGGGUGUAAAGGGUUCGUAGGCGGUGUGGCAAGCCGGGAGUGAAAUCUCUGGGCUCAACUCAGGGGCUGCUUCCGAAACUGCUGUGCUAGAGUGUGGGAGAGGCGCGUGGAAUUGCAGGUGUAGCGGUGAAAUGCGUAGAUAUCUGCAGGAACACCCGUGGCGAAAGCGGCGCGCUGGACCACUACUGACGCUGAGGAACGAAAGCUAGGGGAGCAAACAGGAUUAGAUACCCCCGUAGUCC
rnacentral:rRNA from 1 species